rnacentral:rRNA from 1 species
CGGCACGCCUAACACAUGCAAGUCGAACGAAGUAGCAAUACUUAGUGGCAGACGGGUGAGUAACAUGUAGGUAUCUACCCUUUGGCCUGGAAUAACACGAGGAAACUUGUGCUAAUACCGGAUAAGUCUUUACAGAGAAAGCUUUAUGCACCAUUGGAUGAGCCUGCACUUGAUUAGUUAGUUGGUAGGGUAACGGCCUACCAAGACUUUGAUCAAUAGCUGAUUUGAGAGGAUGAUCAGCCACAUUGGGACUGAGACACGGCCCAAACUCCUACGGGAGGCAGCAGUGGGGAAUCUUGCACAAUGGAGGAAACUCUGAUGCAGCGAUGCCGCGUGAGUGAAGAAGGCCUUUGGGUUGUAAAGCUCUUUCGUCGGGGAAGAAAAUGACUGUACCCGAAUAAGAAGGUCCGGCUAACUUCGUGCCAGCAGCCGCGGUAAUACGAAGGGACCUAGCGUAGUUCGGAAUUACUGGGCUUAAAGAGUUCGUAGGUGGUUGAAAAAGUUGGUGGUGAAAUCCCAGAGCUUAACUCUGGAACUGCCAUCAAAACUUUUCAGCUAGAGUUUGAUAGAGGAAAGCAGAAUUUCUAGUGUAGAGGUGAAAUUCGUAGAUAUUAGAAAGAAUACCAAUUGCGAAGGCAGCUUUCUGGAUCAUUACUGACACUGAGGAACGAAAGCAUGGGUAGCGAAGAGGAUUAGAUACCCUCGUAGUCCAUGCCGUAAACGAUGUGUGUUAGACGUUGGAAAUUUAUUUUCUGUGUCGCAGCGAAAGCGAUAAACACACCGCCUGGGGAGUACGACC